GACGAACGCUGGCGGCGUGCUUAACACAUGCAAGUCGAACGGAAAGGCCCUGCUUUUGUGGGGUGCUCGAGUGGCGAACGGGUGAGUAACACGUGAGUAACCUGCCCUUGACUUUGGGAUAACUUCAGGAAACUGGGGCUAAUACCGGAUAGGAGCUCCUGCUGCGUGGUGGGGGCUGGAAAGUUUCGGCGGUUGGGGAUGGACUCGCGGCUUAUCAGCUUGUUGGUGGGGUAGUGGCUUACCAAGGCUUUGACGGGUAGCCGGCCUGAGAGGGUGACCGGCCACAUUGGGACUGAGAUACGGCCCAGACUCCUACGGGAGGCAGCAGUGGGGAAUAUUGCACAAUGGGCGGAAGCCUGAUGCAGCAACGCCGCGUGCGGGAUGACGGCCUGCGGGUUGUAAACCGCAGUCGCCUGUGACGAAGCGUGAGUGACGGUAAUGGGUAAAGAAGCACCGGCUAACUACGUG
rnacentral:rRNA from 1 species